UAUGACAAUGAAACCCUGGCUGUGUUAGUCUCGUGAGGCUGAGUCAUUGACUGUGGUAGCUGGUCUUCCUGUUUGAAUAUGUGGGUCACGGUAUCUGUGGGUGAUGGAAUCUUGAGUGCACAGUGUCUGCCACAUAUCUCAGGAUCAAGGUCCCUUUUCCAAAUGUGCCUGGAUUGAUGAUGACUUCAGAAAUGGAUGUCAUUGGAAUCUGAACAAAAUGAAUGACAGAAUCACUUCUGUUGGAAGUAAUAUUGGAAUUUCCUGCGGGUCUUACUGCCUCACCAAAGAAGAGCUGCUUUUUGUCAUUUCUCCUGGCUCCCUUACCUGAGAAGAAACACAGUGAUGUACUGUCAAGGUUGACAAGGACACAGCUCAGGUUUUAUAUGAAAAGGCUUAUUCCUUACCCUUGAGAUACGGCAUGAAGGAAAGAUCCAUCCUCAAGAGCCAGUGGGAAUUCUCAAGUUGACAUGACCAAAAACUGGGUUUUAUCUGAAGGAGUUUAUUUCUUCUCCUUGAGAUGAGACAUGAAGCAAACUUUUGGGAAUAAUUCUACCCCCUUUCUCAAGGGCCUGUGUGAAUUCUUAACAAAGGAAUGAAGAUGAUAUUGGGCCCAACGGAGGUAUGUGCCUGAGAGAAUGUCCCC